GGACCUUACUGCUAUCGGGAUAGGNANUAAGACAUGUUAGUCGCGCGUCUCCCAGCCAUGAAAGAGACGCGGCCACACGGCUCAGUAANCAUGUGGCUAACCUGCCCUUAGGACAGAGACAACCCCGGGAAACUGGGGCUAAUCUCUGAUAGGUGUGGAGUUCUGGAAUGAAUCUACACCUAAAAGACGCCUGAAUCACGCUUUAGACAUCGCCUAAGGAUGGGGCCGCAGCCGAUCAGGUUGUUGGUGAGGUAACGGCUCACCAAGCCUAUAACCGGUACGGGCCGCGGGAGCGGUAGCCCGGAGAUGGACACUGAGAUAAGGGUCCAGGCCCUACGGGGCGCAGCAGUCGCGAAAACUCCACAAUGCGCGAAAGCGCGAUGGGGCUAUCCCGAGUGCCGUCCGCUGAGGAUGGCUUUUCUCCAGUGUAAGGAGCUGGAGGAAUAAGGAGAGGGCAAGACUGGUGUCAGCCGCCGCGGUAAUACCAGCUCUCCGAGUGGUAGGGAUGUUUAUUGGGCCUAAAGCGUCCGUAGCCGGCUCAUCAAGUCCUCCGUUAAAUCCAGCGAUUCAAUCGUUGGGCUGCGGGGGAUACUGUUGGGCUAGGGGACGGGAGAGGCCGACGGUAUUCCCGGAGUAGGGGUGAAAUCCUAUAAUUCCGGGAGGACCACCAGUGGCGAAGGCUGUCGGCUAGAACGAGCUCGACGGUGAGGGACGAAAGCUGGGGUAGCGAACCGGAUUAGAUACCCGGGUAGUCCCAGCCGUAAACGAUGCGGGCUAGGUGUUAGGGUGGCUACGAGCCACUCUAGUGCCGCAGCGAAGGCAUUAAGCCCGCCGCCUGGGGAGUACGGCCGCAAGGCUGAAACUUAA
rnacentral:rRNA from 1 species